ACUAUAGAGUACAAUAACGCUGUGAUGUAAGGUUUUUACGUAAUUUUAUUUUUAAUGAGACAUCACAUUAAGCGAUCAAAAGAUUUAAAACAGCAAGCCAUUAUGUCUUCCUUUGUUUCGAUUGCAAUCGUUACGUUAUGAUUGGUUAGUUUGAAUGCGGAGAGUCGAUAAAAAUUGUGCGGAGAACUUUCUGAAAGAUCAUCAGCACAGUCGUUGAAUUUGUUAUUUGCAGAUUAUAGUUUAUGUAUAGAUUUUUGUUUGUCGUGUAAUUUAUGUAACAGUUUCAAUAAAAAUGGAAAUAGAAGCAUCUACCGAAGAAAACGCUGUUCAGGUUAUUAGAGAGGGUUUGAGAGAACUAGUUUCCACGGAAAGGAAAGAGUCACGAUUGAAAGUAUUAAAUAAAAAUCGUGUAGCUUUGGGAAAUGCUAUUCCGGAUUCAGCUUUCACGCCAGAAUUUGUUAUUAAAAAUGCAGAGGCGCUUAAGAAGAAAGCAUUGCCAGUUGAAAAGUACAAGCAGCUUCAGAAUGCUCUUAUUCAGAACGAGGAAAAUGUCAACUCAUUUCUAAAAGUGCAUAAUGUAACAUUUGCUCUGGUACGUGAUUUUUCUGGGAAUAAUCCAAUUAUACAAUUAUGUGCAAUUAGUUGCGCUUGCAACAUUGCACUUGGAAAUACUAAGGCUUGUACUUCAUUGGCUAAAAGUAUUGGAUCUUAUCUCACCACAGAAUUAGAUAGUUUAAAUUACCCUUUACUGGAAGCCUGUAUAUGGACAAUGGGAAACUUAAUUGCUGGAAGUGAUAAAGCUUUUGAAAUAUUUCAUGCACAAGGUUGUUUAAAGCAGAUAAUAUCUCUGAUACAAAAUUGUGAUAAUACUAUUUUAUUUGCUGUAGCAUACUGUGCUAUGCAUUAUGUGCAUGUUGGUUGUCAACACAUUCGAAAAGAGGAACUAAUUGAACUUGCAAGAGUUACAGCAGGAAGAGGACUAUGCUUUGAAAGUCCAUAUAUGAUUUGGUUGUUAGCUUUAUUAUCUUCACACGAGCCCUGUAAUGCACAUAUAUGUAAUGUUGCAUCUCCUGUAAUAGAUUAUCUACACCAAAAUACUAAAAAUAAUCAUGCCACUGUAACAGAGAUCACAGCAUGCAUAAGAUUGUUGGCUAACACUGUAUAUGAAACAUCUGGAAAUGUAGCAAAACUUUUGUUAGAGAAUGCCAAAUAUACCCAGUCUGAUGUAGAAACAUUGUUAAAUGGAUUACUUUCAUCCCAGUAUGUACAUGUCAGAAAAGAGACACUGUGGUUAAUAGGAAAUCUUUAUAAUCACAAUCUUAUUGAUGUCAAAAACACUACUCAAAAAAUUAUACCGUGCCUAUCAUCCCUGAAACAAACAAUUUUAUGUAUGACACAGCAACCUGUAUUAAUAAAUGCAGAUUGAAACAGUUGUCUGGAAUUAUCAUGAAUAAAUCGUCGUCCUAGUCCUAUGGAAGUAUCUUGAGCUAGGGCGGCAUCUUCUAUACACGGUAUUUUCAUUACAUUGAAGUAUAUGUGACCCAUGAUGUGUGCAGCUGGAUGCGUUGCAGCUUUCAAACAAUAGUACAGCGCCUCGUCGCACACACAGUGCGAUCUAGGAAGUUUUCAGCAAUGUCUCCAGCUCCACACCAUUUUGUACCUGCAACGUUAUAUCAAGAUUACUUGAAAAUAUCAUUCACAUUGCUGCAUGAGUUUUGUCAUCUCCUGAAAGGACACCUUUUGAGGAACAGUUGUCAACGAUAGAUUUCUUAAAACUUCAGUGGCUUCUUCUUGUUCGCUGCAAGAUGAAACAAUUGUUUACUUCAUCCAGAAGCAUCAUCCUAUCAAACUGAUAAUUUGUAGAUGGUCGACCACCGCAACAGUCUGAUCAUGGUAAUACACAGCCCUUAUUUCAUCUUUGUUCUGUACAUCGUUCCACACCGUGACACCAUUC
rnacentral:misc_RNA from 1 species